rnacentral:tRNA from 1 species
GGGGCCGUGGCGCAGUUGGUAGCGCAUCUGCUUUGCAAGCAGAGGGUCGCCGGUUCGAAUCCGGUCGGCUCCA